rnacentral:rRNA from 1 species
AGAAGCUUGCUUCAUCUUGAGAGCGGCGGACGGGUGAGUAAUGCCUAGGAAUCUGCCUGGUAGUGGGGGAUAACGUUCGGAAACGAACGCUAAUACCGCAUACGUCCUACGGGAGAAAGCAGGGGACCUUCGGGCCUUGCGCUAUCAGAUGAGCCUAGGUCGGAUUAGCUAGUUGGUGGGGUAAUGGCUCACCAAGGCGACGAUCCGUAACUGGUCUGAGAGGAUGAUCAGUCACACUGGAACUGAGACACGGUCCAGACUCCUACGGGAGGCAGCAGUGGGGAAUAUUGGACAAUGGGCGAAAGCCUGAUCCAGCCAUGCCGCGUGUGUGAAGAAGGUCUUCGGAUUGUAAAGCACUUUAAGUUGGGAGGAAGGGCCAUUACCUAAUACGUGAUGGUUUUGACGUUACCGACAGAAUAAGCACCGGCUAACUCUGUGCCAGCAGCCGCGGUAAUACAGAGGGUGCAAGCGUUAAUCGGAAUUACUGGGCGUAAAGCGCGCGUAGGUGGUUUGUUAAGUUGGAUGUGAAAUCCCCGGGCUCAACCUGGGAACUGCAUUCAAAACUGACUGACUAGAGUAUGGUAGAGGGUGGUGGAAUUUCCUGUGUAGCGGUGAAAUGCGUAGAUAUAGGAAGGAACACCAGUGGCGAAGGCGACCACCUGGACUGAUACUGACACUGAGGUGCGAAAGCGUGGGGAGCAAACAGGAUUAGAUACCCUGGUAGUCCACGCCGUAAACGAUGUCAACUAGCCGUUGGGAGCCUUGAGCUCUUAGUGGCGCAGCUAACGCAUUAAGUUGACCGCCUGGGGAGUACGGCCGCAAGGUUAAAACUCAAAUGAAUUGACGGGGGCCCGCACAAGCGGUGGAGCAUGUGGUUUAUUUCGAAGCAACGCGAAGAACCUUACCAGGCCUUGACAUCCAAUGAACUUUCUAGAGAUAGAUUGGUGCCUUCGGGAACAUUGAGACAGGUGCUGC